GAUAAACGCUGGCGGCGUGCAUAACACAUGCAAGUCGAACGAUGAAACUUAGAUGAUUUCUUCGGAAUGAACUUAAGCGGAUUAGUGGCGAACGGGUGAGUAACACGUGAGUAACCUGCCUUACACAAGGGGAUAGCCUUUGGAAACGAAGAAUAAUACCCUAUAACGUCAAUUUAUCGCAUGAUAGAAUGACCAAAGAUUUAUCGGUGUAAGAUGGACUUGCGUCUGAUUAGCUAGUUGGUGAGAUAAAGGCCCACCAAGGCAACGAUCAGUAGCCGGCUUGAGAGAGUGUACGGCCACAUUGGGGACUGAGACACGGCCCAAACUCCUACGGGAGGCAGCAGUGGGGAAUUUUGCACAAUGGGGGAAACCCUGAUGCAGCGACGCCGCGUGAUUUAGAAGGCCUUCGGGUUGUAAAAAUC
rnacentral:rRNA from 1 species